UUCUUUUGUUAUUUUUGUAUUUAUGCUUAAAUUUUUUGAUGCGUAUAGGUUCUAAAAUUUUGUAAGUGUUAAAAAAUAAAUUCCCCAAAGUAAGGUUAAUAUUGAUACUUAUUGAAACUAUAGUUUGUAGAGUUGAUUAAUAAAUCUAUAAAAUCUUGAAACGGGUUUAUGGUUUUAAAAUUAUUUUUAAAAAAUCCAAUCAUGCAAAAUUAUAGGUCAAAGAAUCAAAGAUGCAUCAAUUACAUUAAGUUUUUUUUUUCAAAAAUUGCGUGAUACUCUAAGAAAAUAAAAUCCAAAUUAGACUAAGGUUCGAUUAUAAUUUAGUUUUUAUUUUUGGUAGAACGGGGGGAAGGAUACAACUCAAAUUCCCUAAAAUAUUUUUUCUACUUUUUAGGUAUUAGAAUAUGUGUGAAAAAGCUUGAAUAAGUAUAUCUAGAUUUUAUGCUCAAAUAAUUAAGAAAAUCUCUUUACCUAUGUGUAUGAGAUCAUGUGUGAAUGAUGUAUUUCUUUAAGUUUGCACUACAUUAUAGCUUAAUCAAUUAUGUAUUGGCUAAAACAUGCUAUGAGAAUUUCCGCAACUUUUGCUCAAAUUAUCAUACGUGAUGGUGGAAAUUCAAUAUUUGUGUUCUUGACAUACUUACAUGAUUGGAGGUUGUUGUUGUAUUUUUGGUAUACGGUCUUUAUCCCUUUUACGUUGUUGGACUUGUAGGAGUUAAACAUAUGUUUGGGGACUAAUAUUUGAGAAAUUUCACCCUUUAAGGAUCUCAUAUAUUUUUUUCACCCUUAAGGACCUCACACCACUUUUUAUAUAACUUAAUCAUAACUUAAGUUAAGUUCAGAUAAGAUAAGUGAAAGAAAAAUAAGUGAAAAUCUGUUAAAUUGAACACACUCUACCAAUCAGUAAUAUGGAAAAAUUUCAUUAUUUAUGACACCAGCAAACGAAAAAGUUAAUGGAAUUUGCCAUAAGGUAAUAUAAAAAUUAAAAGUUGAUAAGAAAUAUAUAAGAUUUAAAGUACAACAUAUAAGGUAGUUCUUUUCCAAAUAAUUUACCAUAUUUUGGUUGCACGACUUAUUCUGGCAAUCAUAGCUGGUAGUAUUGAUAAGUUUGAUCUACCCCAAUUCCGGGUAUGUAAAUAUCCAAUACAGCAAGAGCCUGUGAAAUAUUGAACAUUGUUCUUUAGUUUUGAUGUUGUUUGAUUUCAGCUUGUUGUGAUGCAAAUUGCAGUAAUUUUUAUAUUUGUGAACACUCUUGUAAUCGAUGUGUAUGCCAACACAAUGUCAAUUACUAGAUGCUGACAAAGGAACCAUGAUGUAUGUAUCACUCAUUCGCAUUAAAUCAUACUACUUUGACAUUUUAAUAUAAGUGGGUUUUCUUGUACGCAUAUGUUUUAAUAUAUAUAUAUAUAUAUAGUUUCUCUAAUACUUACUUUUUCUCAUUUCUUUCUAACUAAAAGGAAACACCCUAUGGGCAUUGAAGGAAAAGGCUUGUGUAUUUUUUUAUUGAUUAUCGAUGAAUAUUUAAGUACAAAGUAAUCGUGUCUAUGGCUACUAGUACUAUGAAACUAUAACGAAGACAAUUAAAAAACUAACUCUUUCUUAAAUAUUUAGUACUUAGCGUUUAUAUAUUUUGAAUAUAUAUAAAAAUUCUCUAAGUCAGAAAAUAUACGAUCUCAUGCAUGUUAUAGUCACAUAGAAUAGGAGAAAACGGCUUAAUCUCAAGUGCUUAGGUAUUGUCACAAUAACUUGCCAAAACCUCUAUUAGGAAUUACAAUGUAUAUAGAAUUAUAUUCCUAGUUUAUGUAAAUUUUUCUAUUGUUAAUAGGUUUAUGUUUUAAGGAUUGGUAUGGCAUUAGGGUUGUGCAACAGUGUACUAUAUAUACGUUAAUAAUAAUAUACAAAAGGCUAAGUCGUUUUCUCAAAUAAUAAUGAUAAUUUAUGUGGUAAUAAUAUAAUUAGGAUUUUAAUACCCUAAUAUUAGUAGUAUGUUAGUAGUACUAGAAUUCAGGUACGACACGAAUAUGUCAUAUGUAGUAUUCGCGUAUGAAAAGGAUAUUUCAUACGUCAUAAUAAGUUUCUUUUGAAUUGUAGUACGAUCGAGUGAAACACUUUGUAUUAUAUAUUUCAAAAUGUACACUUAUUUUUUACGGAUGGUUCAAAGGUACCGUGGAGUAUUCCAUAUGAUUUGAAAUGCAAGUGUGGUGAAUCCUCCAUAUCACUGUCAUAAAUAUUCUGUGUCUGAAAAUAAAGAUAUUGCGGAGUAAGAUCUAGAAGAAGAUUGUUUGUCCUCUUUUAGAGAAAUGCAUUAAAUGUGAAUGUAAUUUUCUUUAUUUUUCCAUAUUUGUCAUCAUCAUUACUCCCUAGUCCCUAUUCAUUUUCUCCCUCUCUUCAGUCUGGAUUCUAGAGGAUUCAAACACGCUUGCAAAUAAUAAAGAAGAAAUAAAAAAUAAACUCUCCAACAAUCUUCACAAAACACCCCCUCCUUCAUCUUCCACCAGUUAUACGUUCAGUAAGUCAAGUAAUCAUUUCGGUUACUACAUGUCUGGUUAUAGUCGUGAGGUAACAAUUACCGAUCCUUAAGAUAAUAUAUUCCUCACUUUGUUACGAACAUAGGGGUAACUAUUCCCUUUUCGUUCCUCCUCCUAUACAACCCGCAAAAGUCCUCUCCUUUUCCUACGAUGUUUGUUGCUCUGUUCUCAUUUUCAAAUUUAUAUUAGUCAUCCCUCACAAGUUCCAUUCCAUUUAUUAGUGGUUGGGCCUGUGGCUAGAGCAAUGACAUACCAAUAAUGACUUAUCCAUGUUAAUUUGCUGCGUAAAUGAAGAGGAAUAUGGAGAAGACGGUUGGCUCAGUCACUUUGGAUGGAAGCAGUUUCAAGUGAUCAUAACCUAUUUUAGACUUUAACUUUGAAGAACCUUCUUCAAGAAGCAUACCCCAUCCUACGAUUGCACUGAUUGAAACCCCCUGUGUAUUGGAAACUUCAUCUGAUGAAGAAAACGAGCACUUUGAUUUGCAACAACAACCACCUUGUCUUGUUAACCAAAUAUCAUGAUUCAUCACACAAAAACCAUUUAUUUACUACAAUUUCAUGAUUGUGAAACAGAUGAUGAGGGCAUUUUCAUUCCUAAGAGUGUAAUAUAUUAUGAAAGGAAAAAUCUUGUGUAUUCAUUAUUGAUAACUGAUGAAUAUUUAAGUACAAAGUGAACGUAUCUAUGACUACUAGAACUAUGAAAACAUGACGAAAAUAAUUAGGAAACUAACUCUUUCCUAAAUAUUACGUACUUAGGUGUAUAUAUAUAGUUUAGCAAAGCUCAUAUAUGUUAUAGUCACAUAGAUUAGGAGAAAAUGAAUUAUUCAUGAGUGCUUAUAUUACGUGGUAUUGUCACCCUAACUUGCCAAAAAAUCAAUUAAGAGUUAUAACGUAUAUAAAAUUCCUAUUUUAUGUAAAGUUUCCUAUUGUUAAUGUUGUGUGGUGUUAGGGUUGUGUAACCGUGUAUUAUAUAUACGUCAAUAAUAACGUACAAAAGGCUAAGUCGUUUUCUCAAAUGAUAAUAAUAGUUUAUGUAGUGUUAAGAUAAUUAGGAUUUUAGUAUCCUAAUAUUAGUAGUAUAUUAGUAGUAUUAGUAUUCUGGUAUGACAAGAAUAUGUCAUACGUAGUAUUCAGGUAUGACAAAAAUAUGGCAUACGUAGUAUUCAGGUAUAACAAAAAUAUGUCAUACGUAAAAUUUAGUAGAUUUUGAGUUGUAGUAUGAUUGAGGCUCUGUUUGGUAAGCCGUAAAACGUUUUCAUGUAAAACAAUUUUCCCAUUUUCAAUCAUUUUACGUUGUUUGGUUGGGUAAGGGAUGUAAAACAAUUUUUCAUGACUCCCUCCAAGGUGAAAAACCCUUUUCCAUUUGAAAGGGAGGGAAACCACUUUUCCUUAUUUCCUCCUUACCUCCCUCUCCUUUCUUCCCCUUAUUCUUCACCAACUUCUCCCAUUUUUCUUUAAGUUACCAAACAAAAGAAAACUAGUUUGCAAUUGUGUUUUCCCUUGAAAAAUGUUUUCCAUGGAAAAUCAUUUUACAAUGAAAACGUUUUACGCCCUACCAAACGGAGCCUGAGUGAAAAACUUAGCAUUAUAUAUUUCAAAAUGUACGCUCGUUUUUUUAGGGUGGUUCAAAGGUACCGUGGAGUAUUUCGUAUGAUUUAAAAUGAAAAUGUGGUGAAUCCCCCAUAUUACUAUCCUAAAGAUUCGCCGCCAGAAAAAAAAAACAUACUUCCUCCGUCUUUUAAUACUCGCAACGUUCGUUAGUUUCACGCAUGCCGAUGCACAACUUUGAUCAUUUAUAUCUUAAAUUCUCUUUAUGCAAAAAUUAUAAAAAGUUGAUAUUUUGAAAAUACACAUUGAGACGAAUCUAACAAGAUCCCACAUGACUAUGUUUUAUCUUAUAUAAAAAACACUACGAAUAGUCAAAGUGGAUUAUAUGAAUAGUGGCAAAAGUCCAAACUUUGCGAGUAUUAAAAGACGGAGGAAGUAUUACAUUGUAAGAUUUAGAAGAAGAAGAAGAAGAUUGUUUGUCCUCUUUAGAAACAAUGCAUUUCCAACUAUCUUCAUAGAACACAUUCUUCUUCAUCUUCUCCGGUCUCUUCGUUCAGCAAAUUAAGUAAACAUUUUAGUUACUACAUGUCUGGUUAGAGUUGUGAAGUAACAGUUACCAAUCCAUACGAUAAUAUAUUCCUCACUUUGUUACAAACCUGGGGGUAACUAUUUCAAUUUAUUUCCUCCUACAACACAACCCGCAUAAUUCCUCUCCUUUUCCUACGAUUUUUGCUGCUAUGUACUCGUUUUCAAAUGUAUAUUGUUCGUCUCUCACAAGUUCCAUUCCAUUUAUUAGUGUAAUUUUAUCUUCUAUUGUUAUUUUCGUAUUUGUGCUUAAAAUUUUCGAUGUGUACAUGUUCUAAAAUUUUGUAAGUGUUAAAAACUAAAUUCUCCAAAGUAGAAAAUAAAAUUCUAAAUUAGACUAAGGUUUAAUCACAAUUUCAUUACCCGACAAAGUGGGUACCCGGUCUUACUGGGUACUCGAAAAGCCAGGUACCCGCUAAUGAACACCCCUACCAACGAUUGAAGGUAAGCACUAGAAUAUGGUGGUGCAUGCAGGUUUGCUGCACACGGACAAUCAAAAUCAAUUUUUCUAAUAAUAUUCAACUACGUAUUAAAAAUGUAUCGGAUUCGAAUGCGACUGUAUACGUGUCCAGUCUAUUUUGGCAGGUUUUUUUAAUUUUUAGUAAUUACUACUCCCUCUGUCCCAUAUUAGUUGUUACACUUUCCUUUUUCGUCCGUCCCAGAUUAGUUGUUACACUUCUAAAUUAGGAAUGACCCCACUAUUAUUAUAUUGUCUCUCUCUUCCCACUAUAUUUUUUUGUCCCCACACCCUCACUCAUUCAACUCAAAAAAAUACCCCACUAACUCCUAUUACAACUACUUUUUCAAUAAAAUAACAAUUGAAAACCAAACAACCACUUAUCACGUAAAACUUUAUGUAAAGGUAAGUGUAACGACUAAUUUGGGACGGAGGGAGUAUAUAUGACAGUUUCUGCUCCAGAUGAUUUUUUCAGUCAGUCGAGGGUCGUUCUUCAACUAAUCAGAGUGCAUUGUUGACAAGUGGAUCAUAAUUUCAUCAUUGAACUUUUCGAAAUGAAACGAGGGUAAAAUGUAGGCGUCUACAUAUUGUAUCUAUUAUUUUUGAAUGUUCGUGAUGGAGAUUUUGCUCUUUAUAUAUGAAGCCUUUCCCAUUGUUUGAUAAGCUAUGUGAGAUUUAUGUUAAGGAUGGUUCUAGUGGAUCUACGGACAAGGAUCCCGGAGAUGAUGUGGGGGUGAAAAGAAUGAUGAUGGCUCGAUUAGCUCAACUCAAGCUUCUGGUUCUGCAAGUAGUAGAGGUAGUAAAAUGAAAAGGGGGACAAAGAAAGAGGAGCUCGGGGAUUGUCUAAAGGCCUUGUCUCUCUAAUUGAUGUUGAGAAAGAGUCCACCUUGGUCAUGAAUUAUUUGAAGAAGUAUUUUUUGCGUGACGCUGAGAUUGGUGAAAUGAGAACCCAAAUUUUUUACUCAUUAUGUAAACUUUAAGAUUUGUCUCCUGCUGACAUUGUGGAAGCUAGCUACAAUGACAAUUGGUUUGGAUGAUAAGAAGGUGAAACUUUUCUUUAGCAUGCCUGAUGGAUUUAAAUUCAUGUUCGUCAAAUAUCAAUUAAAAAAGUAGUUAUAAUGGGAUUGUUUAAAGUAUUUAAGUAGUGCUUAUUACAUUGACUUUGUCGGUUAUGU